UUAAAGUUGGGGGUUGGAGAGUGUGUUUGUUCAUGGCUUUUGAAGUUAAACUAAAGGUGAAUGUUAUGUCCCAGCUUGCAGCGAGACCAGCUAGAUCAUGAUGCAUAUAACGGAAAAAACCAAGUAUAAACUAGUGGACGCAACCAAGCCUUCUAACUAUAAGUAAGGCAAGAUUCUAGUAAACUAGUGGCUCACCGUAUGUUAAGUAAGAGAAGAUUCUAGCAACCAUCUCCGUGGCUCAGCGAACUCAACCAGCUUCUUUGGAUUAUUACACGUAUCUUCGAAAGCCACUUUUUAAAAUAAAUUAUUCUUGUUACCCUGUAUCCAAAACUGCACCUAAGACAAAAAGGUCUACCCAGUGUGUGAUUACAGAGCAAUGUGAGGAAAAAUCUCAUUUCCUAUUUUAUAUUAUAAGCAUCUUACCUUGAUAAUAUCAAAGUAAAAAUUCCAGA